rnacentral:misc_RNA from 1 species
GAGAAGAACGUAGCGAAAUGCGAUACGUAAUGUGAAUUGCAGAAUUCAGUGAAUCAUCGAGUCUUUGAACGCACAUUGCGCCCCCUGGUAUUCCGGGGGGCAUGCCUGUCCGAGCGUCAUUGCUGCCCUCAAGCACGGCUUGUGUGUUGGGCCUCCGUCCUCCUCCCAGGGGACGGGCCCGAAAGGCAGCGGCGGCACCGCGUCCGGUCCUCGAGCGUAUGGGGCUUCGUCACCCGCUCUUGUAGGCCCGGCCGGCGCUUGCCGACACAUCAAUCUUUUUUCCAGGUUGACCUCGGAUCAGGUAGGGAUACCCGCUGAACUUAAGCAUAUCAAUAAGCGGAGGA